UAAUAUUUAUUGAUACCAGUAGGGUUCUUCGGUUUCGCAAUGUAAAAAAAAUUAAAUCUUGCACGAGCGUAUGCUCAAGAGAGACAGCAGCAAUUAAUUCAUUCGUCACUGAUCUCUUCUGCAUACGUGCCAUUAUAAUCUAAAAGGAAGCCACAGAAACAGUGAACAUACACCGGAGAAUAUUGUGGCAAACGAUGUUGUGGCAUGAAUUAUCACUACACGUUUCAAUGUGAUGGAAAGCCCCCCGCUACCGAUACAGGCAUUUUAAGCUGUGGUAUAAAACAGACUUGUGUGCCUGCACAAAACCUAAAAGCAGAUGCAUUAUGGUGAUUGAAUAUAUAUUUGUACCCAAUAUUCUUUUUUGUCCCUUGUGCAUCAAUGCACCUUAUAUUCGCGUUUGUUUUAUAUUCUCCUGAAACGCGACACCCACUAACAGCGGGCGCACACUGAAGCCGCACGUGGGCGCACGCUAGAGUAGUCUAAAAGCUCGACGACCGACAGAAUCAAAGCUUCGAGCAGGCCGAAUAACUAAUCUGCAGGGCGAGAAAGAUGCUUCGUAAUCAGACUUACUUGUACACUGCAACUGAAUGUUUUGCCACCGCGCUUUCUUUUUCUUCUUUUCUUUCUUUUUUGUAUUUUGAUGUAUAAGAGGGAGUGGUUCCUAAAUUACAGCAAAUGUUGGGUUCAUUAGAGAACGCCAGACACGCACCAAUUUUGCCCGCUCACUAACACGCGAGAAAGACGCCCCUACAUUCACAUGACAGCAGGCGACAGCCGCUCCAGUGAGGUCUCGUAGAGAGAUGAACGUGCGCUCACGGUGGGAGGCCACAAUGGCGGCCGGCCAAAUGAGCAGGGAGAAAACAUACAAAUACAAACGAAAAGCAACAUCCUGAAACAUUAGAAUAUCAGCAUCUUGAUAUAUAUGGUCCUGUGAUACUUUGACGGAACUGUAGUUUGAUUAUUAUAUUUAGUUGCGCUAGAUGCGGGGCAUAAUCAAACGCGCUUCAGCUUCAGCCACACAUGAGCGCCGUCAUAUCUCCUCUGCAUUGCGCAGCUCUCGCGAUGCAUGCCGGGAAGAGUAUGGCCGGUGGUGUCGUUUUAAAACGGUCGUGUCGCGCUUUGUUUCAUCGCUUUACCCACGUUUUUACGCUCUCCGAUUUGGUGGCGUGCGCUUACCAAGCGUAUUGUGUGUCUGAGUCACUCGUGACGAGUGGUACAGUUACCGAAAGGACUCCUAAAGGCUCGCGCGCCGCUGAAAAGAAGCCGUGACGCCGGACGUGGAGCACGGACAUGUUUGGCGUGCUGCGUGGCCGCUGCGACGAGACGCAUUGCCGAUGGCCAAUGGUAAAGGUUCUUCGCUUACCUGAGAGUGGUGAGCAUCGUUUGUGUUGUGACUGCUGUAAUGAAUGCCGAAGACAGCAAUAAAUGUGACCUAGGCUCCACUACACAGCAAGGAGAUCUGAAAAUUAGCAACUGACAUACUAACAGCAAAGAGACAUGAUUGUGCUCGAAACAGGGAUGAGAUCGGCCUCCUCGUGGAAGUCUAAAACUUAUAUGUAUUUGUAUUUGAACAUAUUUUACACGAACCUUCAACAUUUCUCCUUUUCUUUUUUUUGCCCUAUUCCUCGUGAUGCUGUAGAAAUUUGUGAUGCCAGGCAGCGCUGUACUCAGAGGUUUUUUCAUUACUGCUUCAUGGCCGUGGAGAAGAAAACAGACCAAGGAAAAAUGUAAUUUUGCUUGUGAAGGGAGAACUUUGAGUUACCUUGUUUUGUAUAUGCAAAUAAAGUAAACAUGACAUUUUCACUAAA